CAUUCUUCGGCGCUCGAAGGGGGAAGGACAUCCAGCCGAUCAGGGCCUUACCCUUCGAUGAUCUUUCACCUCGCUCCGUUUCAUCCACCCAACAUCAUUCCGUUUCUUCUCCAUCGUGUGGAUUCCGCUGACGGGAGAUCACCACCACACAACUCUUUAAAUGACCCCUGCCCCGUUUCGUUGUCCACCAACAAGUGGCUGAGGCAUUGUUGAGCCAACUCAGCCUCUCUGGGGCUUCUACAUAGUGUACACUACUACAAGGUACUCAGCCCGACCUCAACUACGUGCAACCACUGACAUGCCAAUGUUUUUGUGAAACUUGCCAAACCACAUGGACAUGCCGACAUUCCCGCCGCGUGAGCGCCCACGAGCACGAGCCGAGCUACGAGCGAGCAAGCGAGCGAGCAGCGGCUUGAGCGGCAUGUUUCCUUGGCAGAUCACUGGAAACGAAAGCCCAAAAGUGACGAAACGGAGGGGACUUGGCGAAACUUCCAGAGUUGAAAAGCUCCGAAAGACUGAACGGGUUCAAACGAACGGCCUUUAAAAUCCCCGAAGCCGCUGGCAUGAACCUCACCCAGCAAUGCAAAAAAUGGGGAAAAGCUCAGUUGUACCUACCUCGAAGAACCGCCCAAAAUACCUACUAGCUACCAACCCAUCAAUUCCUCGAUACAAACCCAUUGUCCCAACUACGACAUCUUCUUUACUGCAGUACCUAUUCUCUACUAGGUGAUGACGAAAUGUGCCUGACUGAUUGACUGACUUCCCGUCUCCCCUCGUAAUCUAAUCAUUGGGUGGCGCUGUAAGGCGCUGGUGUCGGGCUCUUUGUCUGGAGGUCGUUAGGUAUCAACCAUACAUUGAUGAUGACUGACAAUAGGUUUGUGUAACUAUAAGCGGAAACUGGCUGAAGUGAUUGUGAAGAAAAGAGGCAAUAGACUAGCUGACCAUGUAGAGGCAAAUACACUCAGAUUAGAGAAUAAACCGAAGAUUUGAC